rnacentral:rRNA from 1 species
AGCUCAAAUUUGAAAUCUGGCGCCUUCGGCGUCCGAGUUGUAAUUUGGAGAGGCAUCUUCGGAUAUGGCGCCGUCCUAAGUUCCUUGGAACAGGACGUCACAGAGGGUGAGAAUCCCGUGCCUGGUCGGCUGUCCAUAUCCAUGUGAAGUGUCUUCGACGAGUCGAGUUGUUUGGGAAUGCAGCUCAAAAUGGGUGGUAAAUUUCAUCUAAAGCUAAAUAUUGGCGAGAGACCGAUAGCGCACAAGUAGAGUGAUCGAAAGAUGAAAAGAACUUUGAAAAGAGAGUUAAAAAGUACGUGAAAUUGUUGAAAGGGAAGCGCUUGAGACCCCACUCGAUCUUUGGUGAUCAGCUAGGCUUCUGUCUGGUGCACUUGCCAUUGAUUGGGCCAGCAUCGGUUCUGACGGCGGGAUAAAAGGCAGAGGAAUGUGGCUCUCUUCGGGGAGUGUUAUAGCCUCAGUCAUAAUGCCGCCAGUUGGGACCGAGGACCGCGCUUCGGCUAGGAUGCUGGCAUAAAGGUCUUAAGCGACCCGUC